AUCGCUUCUCGGCCUUUUGGCUAAGAUCAAGUGUAGUAUUAAAAAUUCACAGUUAAAAUCCAUUAAAACAAAU
ensembl:snRNA U2 U2 spliceosomal RNA